AGUGAACGCUGGCGGUAGGCCUAACACAUGCCAGUCGAACGGCAGCACAGUAAGAGCUUGCUCUUACGGGUGGCGAGUGGCGGACGGGUGAGGAAUACAUCGGAAUCUACUUUUUCGUGGGGGAUAACGUAGGGAAACUUACGCUAAUACCGCAUACGACCUACGGGUGAAAGCAGGGGAUCUUCGGACCUUGCGCGAUUGAAUGAGCCGAUGUCGGAUUAGCUAGUUGGCGGGGUAAAGGCCCACCAAGGCGACGAUCCGUAGCUGGUCUGAGAGGAUGAUCAGCCACACUGGAACUGAGACACGGUCCAGACUCCUACGGGAGGCAGCGGUGGGGAAUAUUGGACAAUGGGCGCAAGCCUGAUCCAGCCAUACCGCGUGGGUGAAGAAGGCCUUCGGGUUGUAAAGCCCUUUUGUUGGGAAAGAAAAGCAGCAGGUUAAUACCCCGCUGUUCUGACGGUACCCAAAGAAUAAGCACCGGCUAACUUCGUG
rnacentral:rRNA from 1 species